UACGUAGGGUGCGAGCGUUAAUCGGAAUUACUGGGCGUAAAGCGUGCGUAGGCGGUUUUUCAAGCUUGAUGUGAAAGCCCCGGGCUUAACCUGGGAAUGGCAUUGAGGACUGAGAGGCUAGAGUGCGGCAGAGGGAGGUGGAAUUCCACGUGUAGCAGUGAAAUGCGUAGAGAUGUGGAGGAACACCGAUGGCGAAGGCAGCCUCCGGGGCCGACACUGACGCUGAGGGCACGAAAGCGUGGGGAGCAAACAGG
rnacentral:rRNA from 1 species